UUCAAAACAAUUGAUUAAAAGCCAGCUUUCAACACAACUGAUUAAAACAACCCCCCCCUGCCCCCUACCCAGCAAACCCCACAGGGCCUUGGCUAGUAACUUGUCAA